rnacentral:misc_RNA from 1 species
CCUAGACUCGGAAUAUACAUACUGGUUAAACUUUAGAUUAUGCUCACAAAUCCCCAUAAAUCGACGGUCCAUAAUCUAAAGUUUUUAGCCUAAAUUUUUUUUUGUUGCGCCGUGCGGGAUCGAACCUGUGGCUUCACGAGUACCUCAGCUGGCGACUUAGCCACCGCGCUACGGAGGUUGUCAGAUGUAUGUAGCUAGUAAAUAAAUUAAAGCUACAUAGGUACGCUGCGGUAGGUACGCAUUGUCUACAGGAUCCUACAAGGAUUACAAAUUAGGUACAACUAAAGGGAAAGGGAAUUUACCGCAAUUGUAAACUAUUUUCUAUAAAUUAUGAUAAAAACAAAAUUUCGAUUAAAUUGUUUUUUUUUCGUAGUAUUAGGGAAAGCGAUGAUUUAUAUAAAACCCUAAAUCUCUUUUUCCCAAGUGCCCCAAAGAUAUCAUUUAGGUAAAUAGUAUAACUAAUAAAUAUAGUUUUUAGAAUAAUUAACUUCAGAUUACUUUCUAGUUUAUUUCCUUGUAGAACGCAAUAAUAAAAAAAAAACACAAAAUAUUUUUCACACCACUUAUAAAUUUCGCGCUAACACGAACAAUCAACCGCUGCAAUGAAUAAGAGCAUUCAUGUUUACGUAAAUACGUCUGUCUACCUUUGAUGUACCUACUGCCGCGACACGCGACAACGACGCGACUGUUGCCUAUUUCUUGUCAAAAAAAUAUUGUGAACGGUUUAGCAAGGACCACCAGUUGUCAGCAUAUACCUAUAUCAGAUUCGCAUUCGAGGCUGUGUUCACAGAAUUCAUAAAAAUUUGCGAGUCUUUUAAACCUAUUUAGUUAUUGUGUAAAAUGUUGCUGGCAGGUUACUAAGAACUUAGUAAGCGACUAGAAAAGGUACUUUACUUAUUGACAACAUUGAUAUGUAAAUAAUUGUGUUUGCUCGCAAACGAAAAAAAAAACCGACUUCAAUUACAUCGACGAGUAAUAAAUACAACGUAGAUCGACGAAAAAAUAGUCAAGUAACUACGCGUUAUCAAAGAUUACUCAAAAAGUUGUUAUCAGAUCUCGAUAAAAUUUAUAUGUGACCACAUGAUAAACAUCAGCUUUCGAUUAAAUUAAAAAUUAUCAAAAUCGGUACACCCAGUAAAAAGUUAUGCGGAUUUUUGAGAGUUUCCCUCGGUUUCUCUGGGAUCCCAUCAUCAGAUCCUGGUUUCCUUACCAUGGUACCAAACUAAGGAUAUCCCCUUUCCAACAAAAAAAGAAUUAUCAAAAUCGGUA